rnacentral:tRNA from 1 species
GCAGUGUAACUGACAAGCGUGGGAGAGCGUCGUGCUGGCAGCGCGAAGGUCACCGGUUCGAACCCGGUAUGCUCCA